AAACCCGCCCCUCCGGCCGGCCUGGGCCCGCCCCGGCCGGCUCCGGGCGCCCCGAGCCCCGCCCCGGGCACGCACAGCUGCGGGACGGGCACGUACCAUUUAAAUAAUGGCGCCAAGCUGCGAGGUUUGACAGAUACUCCCCCGUCGGCUUCCCCGCCCCCAUCCCCGGCAGCCAGCGCCUCCCGGGAAGGGCCAGGGCCCGAGGGACGCUGGCCAGCGCCCCGCCCCUUCGCGACCAGCAGGCCCUUUCAGCAAAGCUUCGUGCGGCGGUCCUGGACACAAUACCGCCCCCUCCCCCAACCAGCAGGGGGUUUGCGGCACCUGCCACCUGCGAGGCCCCAGGUGGUCGAAAGCAACGACCCGUGACCUGGAAGGAGCAAGUGAAGCAGUUCUACGGUUGUUGGCUCCGAUCGUCAGGAUAACGUGGUGUCAGGUGAGCAAUGAGAAAGAAGUAACCAAGACAAUUUGGUACCAGGAGUGGGGUUGUUGCUAUGACUAUACCCAACCAUGUGGUUCAAGAGCCUUUGGGAAUGCCUGUGGGAAACAGUAUGGAAAGAUUCAGAGAUGUGAAUUGAAACAGGAGAACUGGAAUGCCUUGGGCUAUUCUGUGUAGAUUUUGGUCAGAGCUCAGAAGACAAGAAGGCUAAUAGAAAUCUUGCUGGUAAAGACCAGAUUCAUGAGGUUUGUCCUGGAAAGAAGGGCUGCAUUGGUUGUUGGACUCCAGAAAAUGUGUGUUUGUCUGCAUUUUCCUCAUGUCCAGAGAAUUUACCUGAGAUUGAAAGUAAGGGUGGUGGACUAAUUAAUCUGGCAGAAUAAAUUUCAAGGCAGUCUAAUGUUGAGGCAGUAGCAUGGCUACUGAUAGGGGCUUUGAGACAGAUCUAUGUUAAGAAUCAAGAGCAAAGAACUCAGCAGAAUUACUUUAAAUGUUGUGAGUUUGGCCAGAAAGGAAGUGCCAGUAAAGCUGUAGACUACCAAGAUAGAACUGAGGAAAUAUCAAUUGCUAAGAAGGAACAAGAGAAUGUAAAAGAUGGCCUGAGGGCAUCACAAGAAGCAGCAAGUUUCCACUUUUUGCAGCCUCAAAACUGCAAAAGUGAAAGACAUGCUUUGAGGAAAAAGGUGCAGAACACCAUGUUUCAGAAUGUCAGCAGGAGCCAGGAACUUAGCUCAACAGUUCAAGUGUUUGCUUGGUAAGCUCCAGAUUGUGAGUUUGAUCCCCAGUACAAAAAAAAAAAAAAAAAAGCAUGUCAGCAGCACAAAAAAUUUGUUUUUCAGAAUUGGAAUCAGAGUGACCAGGGAUCAAAGCACUUGACCCCUACAACCAAAAGAGAGGACAGCCUGGCUACUCUCCAGCUGGCAGCAGAGCUUGGCAUCAUCCACAUGGCUCUGGUUUUAGGCACAUACAGAAUGUAAGAAUUGUGGGAUUAAAAAGGUUUUUACUUCAGGGGCUGGGGAUUUAGCUCAGCAGCAUAAAGCACCUGCCUGACAAGUGUGAGGUUGUGAGUUCAAUCCCCAGUACCGCAAAAAAAAAAGUUUUCAGGCAUUAUGCCCCUGAGAGGGCAAUGUGUAAAACUAUGAGUGUGAAGCCAAAGUUGCAGUGGAGACCCCGGAAAUUUGGAAAAGCCAGGAAUGUGGAUUUUCUGAGGAAACCUGCAAGGAGGGAGCAGAGCAGUCCCAAGAGAGAAGCCAUGGGAGUUAUAAUCACCGUAAGUGCCAUAGGGGUGCAGCCAUCCAAGACCUUUGGAGCUCACAAUGUGCCACAGAUUGCCUGAGAUACUGCACAUGGAACUGCAGGACUUAAAUGUUUGCCAUGCUAAAUUUUGGACUUGCUUUGGUCUCAAUCAUUUGUAGUCCCCUGUUUGCAACUUUUGGAAUGAAAAUGUUUAUCUCAUGCCAUGGAAUGUUGGAAGUGUUUAACUUUUCAUUUCUACGGGGGCUUGCAGAUAAAAGUUUGCCUUAUAUCUCAGAGGAGACUUGGGACUUGGACUUUUCAGCAAUGCAGAAACUGUUAGGAUUUUGGCAACUCUUGCAGGUUGACUAAAAUGCCUUUUGCAUAAAGGGAUAUGUAUGAGGUUGGCGGGGCUGGGGUAAAAUAUUAUGGUUCUAAUGUAGUAUAAUGUUGACAGACUUAAUACAGGUUCUUAAGGAUUGUUAAAUCUGUGUUACAAUGCUCAAGUUGAAAAAUGUUAAGUAGUCUUUGUAUCUGAAAACCUGUUUACAGAAGUGUGUCUGGUUGGCAAGUUGACAAGGGGUAAAAGGUAAGAGUUGACACAUUGUGUCAACUUGAGAAGCUUAGAAUUUUAACAAAGUGAGUUUGUAAACAUCUUCAUCCUGUGCAGGAAGAAGGCACAGAGAUAGUGUGAUUGCUACACCUGCCCUGGGGCAGGUAGCCUACUUACAAUAUAAGGGAGAAAAAGAACUCACUUCUCCCCACCUUUUGCUUUUGUUGAUUUUGCUGUAACCUCAUGCCAUGCCACCCUGCCUUGAAGCCAGCUGAUUGUGGACUGAAACUUUCGUAAGCCAUUAGCUAAAUAAACCUUUUCUCCCUUAA